rnacentral:rRNA from 1 species
CAGCCGUAAACUAUGCGCGUUAGGUGUAUCGGUGACCACGAGUUACCGAGGUGCCGAAGGGAAACCGUGAAACGUGCCGCCUGGGAAGUACGGUCGCAAGGCUGAAACUUAAAGGAAUUGGCGGGGGAGCACCACAACAGGUGGAGCCUGCGGUUUAAUUGGACUCAACGCCGGAAAUCUCACCGGAUAGGACAGACAUAUGAUAGUCGGGCUGAAGACUCUACUUGAUGAUCUGAGAGGUGGUGCAUGGCGUCAGUGACU